CUGGGGGCGUGCGGUGGGUACGGGCUGGCUUGAGUGCGGUAGGGGAGGCUGGAACUCCUGGUGUAGCGGUGGAAUGCGCAGAUAUCAGGAGGAACACCGGUGGCGAAGGCGGGUCUCUGGGCCGUUACUGACGCUGAGGAGCGAAAGCGUGGGGAGCGAACAGG
rnacentral:rRNA from 1 species